GGCAGGUGUGGUCCUGCAGUGGUUGCUCAUCAGGACAAAUGAGAAGAAGGUCAAAAGGAGCAGUAAACCUAGGAAGAAAUGCCAUAUGUUAGCUUUUCAGAGUGAAAUAACCUCCGAAGACUACAACUGCUCCACCACACGCUUCUUCCUGGAAACAGGAAGGAGACGUUCUACACCAACAAGGCACCAAAUACCAUUGCCUGUCAACUGCAGAUUCUGUGAUUUGCUCACCUCUCCCACAAAACAGCAGGUCUGAAUACCCUCCUCAGCCAGAGGUACAUCAGCCUCUCGUCCUGCAGCUGCCUCAAGUGACCUCCACCUCAAAGAUCAACAUCAACAAGGCUGCAAGUCUACGCAAGGUCUCUCCAUGGUUGCUGCCUGACUGAAGUCAUUCACCAUUACCUGCCUCAAUGAUCACCACCAUGUUGCUCUGACCUCACAAAUCAUGAAGUGUUUCGAGAGGAUCUUCCUGAAGUACA